CCUGAUGCGCUUACUAGAGUGCCCAGAAACUUUCAAAGCCUUGUGCAGAAAAUCUUAGUCUGCGCCUCUGCAUGCUCAGGGCUCGGAAUUGGGCUCAGGUCCUGUGUCUCCAACCUUCCUUCUUGAAUCCCGAAAGAUGUGCACAUCUACCCAUGGGACCCACCUGCCACAGAGAACCUCGCAGCCAGGCAAGUCCAGCUUGAAAAGCAGCAACAGUGAAUGUGUCUCGUGCUCCACAAGGCUGGGAUGAGUUGAGAAGGCCCGUGGCCUGGAAUGCCACACUGCGUU